rnacentral:lncRNA from 1 species
AUGGACCCCCGGUGGGGGGCCCGGAGCCUCGCCGACCCAGCCACUACACCUUGGGGACCAGGACUCCGGAGCUGGCCCUCCCGCUGGGCCUGGACAAGUGUGUUUCUAUGGGCCCGUUGGCUGUGUCACCGUCAGCAGUUACCAGGGACCGUCCUGCCGUCGCCUCUACCCACCACGGGACCACCACCCUCUCCGGCUACCCACCACGGGACCACCACCCUCUCCGGCUACCCACCACGGGACCACCACCGUCACCGUCAGCAGGUCAGAGCCCCCUCACAGCUCCACCCUUUUGAAAUAGAUCUAUCUUUUUCGAAAUGUCUUCACCCUGGAGGCCUACCUACACCAAUCGCACCAACACCACACAGCCACACUACCACGCACACAACAGACGCACGCUACCUCCCACACCUACAUCCCGUUAUAGACCCCCCAGCCUUCAGUGUAGACCCCCACACACCCACCAUCACCACAAUAGACCCACACACACAUAUCAAACCACAGAACACACCAGACCCACACCAACACACCCACACACACAACCACUCAGACCACAAAGACCACCUCCACCAUCCACACGUCCACUCCUCCCACCACCACCAACACACACCCGGUACAUUGCACCAGACGGCCCAACCCGUGGAAAAGACAAAGUAUAUUUUAAAAUACUCCAGGCCCUGCACCACAGGGACACAGCGGACAGAGCGGUGUCCUCCCGGGAACUCCCCAGGGGGAUGUCACGACAGGUCCACAAAUGAUCCCACUUCAUCAAACCCAUCACCCACAGACACCACAUCACAAAGAAAUAAUGACAACACCCACACCUGGAUGCACAAUGACAUGUUGAUCCUAAAAGAACACUACACACACACAAUAGACCAACUCACACAAACACCCCAGCCCACCAACACACUCUCACUUAAGAUCGCUACCAACUGGGCACACAAGAGAUUGGGCCACAGACUAUUACCCACCACCUUACAUCAACUAGAACACACACGACUCCAUACACCGUCCGCCCCUCACUCACCACUCAUCACCAACCCACACCCCCUCAACCUACUCCCCCCCUCCCCCAUACCGACCAGUCCCCAUACCACCCCACCUCGAGCCUGGACCUUCCCCUCACCGACACCUCCACAGCCCACACUCAGCCACACAGACCCCCCCCCUCCCCCCUCCCACUGCCUCCCCAACCAGCACCCACACACACCCUAGAUCACUCUAUUCAGGCCCACGCCCCACUCUGACGGAGCUCACAACUAUACACACAACCAGAAACACAACAGACCCCCCCUCACACAACCAGCCCUCCCCCUCCCCCUUCCCUCUGCCUCCCCAACCAGCACCCACGCACACCCUAGAUCACUCUAUUCAGGCCCACGUCAGUCAGAAAUCCUCUCACCAGAUGAACCUCCGUCGCAGAGGACCGAGCAACAACCAACACACCACCAUACACCACCCUCUCUCCAGAGUUCCCCCUCACUCCAUCCAGACACUUGCAUCCAACCACUCCCACUCCCAACCUACGCCACUCAACAGCUAGUCACUGAUCUCAGUCCCCUACUAGAAACUCCCCACGACACCUUCACCACUCAGCCUGACAACAUACACUGGACACCAAACACAGCACAACACAUCCUGGGACUGUAAGCUCCCCGGGGUCCGGGGCCCCGGACCCUGACUACAUCAUGCAAUCCCAAUCUGAAGCCCCCUCUAAUAACACCAAGUCUCCUCCGCUGUCCAUCCAGUCCACGAGCACACCCUCACAGCGGACUGUGCAGCUUAGACUCCACCGCGUCCUUAAUUCGGCCUCGUUAAGUCCUCUCACCGUCACUCCCGAGCGCCGACGGCCGUGUGGAACCACCGACCCGAAGCCUCGACCGAACAAGACGAUGUUCAAAAGGACCAGACACGAUCCCACGGGGCAUAAAGUUAGGGAUUGGACUAUUUGAUCCAUCCAGCCCGUAGUGAUCAUCGGUGACUUAACCCUUGAGUCGGUUCCUUCCCCACAAUCACACAGACGUCCACAUGGAGAGGUAUCCCGGUGCCAAAUAGCAACACGUCACACAGGUCUGAGGUAAACAUCCAAGAUUCACACCAAGAUUCUGGUGCUCUCUCUGGGCCUCAACCACAGGGACAGCCUGUUGGAGCCGGCCGCCAGGACCCUCACAACAACCUAACCGGCCCCCGCGGGGCCCUGCUCCCUCUGGGUUCCCCUGGGGCCCUCACCGGCCCUGGAGGUGAGGGCCCCACUCUCUCAGGCCUCUCUCUCUCUCUCUCUCUCCUCUGUCUCUGUCUCUGUCUCUGUCUCUCUCUCUCUCCCCCCCUCUCUCUCUCUCUGUCUCUGUCUCUGUCUCUGUCUCUGUCGCUCUCUCUGUCGCUCUCUCUGUCGCUCCCUCUCCCUCUCCCUCUCUCUCUCUCUCUCUCUCUCUCUCUCUCUCUCUCUCUCUCUCUCUCUCUCUCUCCCCCCGCUGAGAAGAGGGAGACCCCCCCACCCAUCUACGAGGCUACACACACAUACACACACACACACACACACACACAAACAUCGAACACACACGCACAAACACACACACACACACACGUACUUACAUAAACAGACACACACACAAUAACACGCACGUACACACACACACACACACACAGUCUUAGCGUGUCAAGAUGUAACCCCCGUCAUGGCCCCCCUAGCGUCUAACAUAGCGCUGUUUGACUCAACAUGGCCGCUCUGACGGCUGCAGACUCAAACGCUUCACUCUGUUUCUACUGGUUUAAGCCUGCGCCCCUGGAAGACGGUUAACUAUUGAACACGUUAGCAUCGUUCAUUUUUGUUAUUUAACACCCACACAAACACACACACACACACACGCACACACCCACACGCACACACACACGCACAGUUCUGGGAAGUCUAAUUCAGUCACUGUGGUGAAAGGAUGAAUUAGGUUGUACAAACCUACCUUGAAGGAACCUUUCAUUAUGUGUUCAUUCAGUGGGGUUGGGUUGGUGUUGGGUCUCUUUCUCUUUUCGCCUGCUUGUUGUGGUGUGUUGAGCACCAAAGGCUCUUCAACCAUUCAACACCGCCGCCACACACACACACACACACACACACACACACACACACACACACACACACACACACACACACACACACACACACACACACACACACACACACACACACACACACCUGUGUCUCCUUCACCCUAAUCCUGUUGGCCAGAAGGUGAACUGCACCGAGAUGGAUUCACCGCCUCUUGGUUAAAGGUAUUAUUAUUAUUUGCACAUAGUUCUGCGAAUCUCUCUCCAUUUUCGUUCAUCACGCC